UUGCACGCUGGCGGCAGGCCUCACACAUGCAAGUCGCACGGUAACAGGAAGCAGCUUGCUGCUUCGCUGACGAGUGGCGGACGGGUGAGUAAUGUCUGGGAAACUGCCUGAUGGAGGGGGAUAACUACUGGAAACGGUAGCUAAUACCGCAUAACGUCGCAAGACCAAAGAGGGGGACCUUAGGGCCUCUUGCCAUCGGAUGUGCCCAGAUGGGAUUAGCUAGUAGGUGGGGUAACGGCUCACCUAGGCGACGAUCCCUAGCUGGUCUGAGAGGAUGACCAGCCACACUGGAACUGAGACACGGUCCAGACUCCUACGGGAGGCAGCAGUGGGGAAUAUUGCACAAUGGGCGCAAGCCUGAUGCAGCCAUGCCGCGUGUAUGAAGAAGGCCUUCGGGUUGUAAAGUACUUUCAGCGGGGAGGAAGGGAGUAAAGUUAAUACCUUUGCUCAUUGACGUUACCCGCAGAAGAAGCACCGGCUAACUCCGUG
rnacentral:rRNA from 1 species